rnacentral:rRNA from 1 species
GUCUUCCUACGGGGGGCAGCAGUGGGGAAUAUUGCACAAUGGGGGAAACCCUGUUGCAGCGACGCCGCGUGAGCGAAGAAGUAUUUCGGUAUGUAAAGCUCUAUCAGCAGGGAAGAAAAUGACGGUACCUGACUAAGAAGCCCCGGCUAAAUACGUGCCAGCAGCCGCGGUAAUACGUAUGGGGCAAGCGUUAUCCGGAUUUACUGGGUGUAAAGCGAGUGCAGGCGGUUCAAUAAGUCUUAUGUGAAAGCAUUCGGGUCAACC